CACCUACCUCCAAAACGUUACAAGUCAUAUUAAUUCGAGAUAAUUAACCCAGACUUAACUCUUACGCUCCACUAUGACUACGAUCUCAAAUUCAAUGAAUCUGUCCAUCUUAGUCGGUGAUUCUCACCUAUAAAAAGAUUAAUAUUCAUCCAUUUAUCACCAUCACCAAAUUUCCUAAAAUUGAGAGAAAUCUUACUUUCCGUAUUUGAGAGCAGCGACCGGCGGUUUGAAAUGAAAGAUGCAGCCAUAGACUCUGGGUAUCUAUGGCCUCGCAACAAGUCGUCCAUGCAUGCCCUGCAAUGAUUCAACCGUCUUUAUGGCUGGGUUUUCGUCUGCGUUGCCACGUUCGUCGUUCUUAUCUCAAUUCAGCGGAUGAGUUUCGAACCAGAGGUUAGAUCAUCAGUGAAGAGACUGAAACGAUUUCCAACGACUGCGGGGAAACUGUCAAUAUAGAGGAUUUGAAGGUGGAUUUCAGGCAACUUUGUUUCUUGAGGCAGAAAUCGCCAUUGCAGUUGGAGCAAAGAUUCAUGGUAGUGGAGCUGCCGAGGAAACCGCAGUUGUUAGAACAGAGACGGUGUGGCCUUCAGGCGUCUGAGAUCGAUGCUCUUCCGCCAUAUAUUUUGAGAGAAAGUUCGAGGCGUUAAAAAAAAUUAGAUAAAUAAAAUUGAUUUGAAGAGAUGAAGAAUCUGCAGAAUCUAACAGAAAUAACAUGCACGAACCGGGAACUGGUCACCGAGAGAAACACAACAAAAGGAAAACAGAAUAUCUAACCUAUACUAAAAGGGGAAUAUGGUGAAUGGGGAGGAUAUCCACGUCCUCACAAAAAAUCAACCAAUCAAAAUUCUCUUUUUUAACAUGUCAUUUCUUCUUAAGUCGACAAUGAAAAAUGAUGAGCUUCUUAUGAACUUGCUCAUUCUAUUUCUUUACAGCCCAGAUCAAGUCCACUUCUGCAACUUCCAUCGUCUCUGUCGCAUCCCAUCUACUUCGUCUUCUCCGUUACAGCUAUCCAUCCUAUCAAUCAUUUGUGUUCUUUACUCCUCUCUUUAUGGAUUCUUUUCACCUCCCUUUCUUUCUCCUCAUGAAUAAAUGGCUAAACAGUUUCGUAAUUUCGUCUAAACUUACUUCCAAGCAAUCCCGAAAGCCUACUUUGAAGAGCCUGAAGCUAUGGCGAUGAACAGGGCAGUGUCGUACAAGGUUUCGUUAUCAAUGAAAACAACCCCUUAUCAGCAUCGCUCACAACUCUGUGCCGUCCUAGAUUGAAUGGAACUGCUUUUCCAUUGAUUCGAAGCGAUUCAGGUUUAAGCCCUCAAGGGAAACUGUGACGUGAAGGCGAUCUGUACGAUGUAGCCGGCCAUCUCAGGCUAAUUGAUGGCCAACAUUUCCCUAUACUUCAGACCUUUAAGCUUAAAGAAGUACCUUUUAUAAAUUAUCAAGUGCAUCCUAUGGUUAGCAGAGAACCAAAGCAAUGGUGCAUUAAUCAGUUCAACAGAGGUGACCAAGGUGGAGACUUUUACUGGCGAUAUCUUGGCUUGACUGUGUGAAGGAAAUGUCUCAGGUAUCUAGAGGAACUGUCCGUUCACCGACAAUGGCGACAAGGCUAAUCUUUGAUGUUGUGUUUCAUGUACUCUUCAGUCUCUUUGUUAUGUAGCUAAGUGCAUGUCUUCUUCUCUUUAUAUGUUUUUUCUUUCAGGAAGUUAAUAGAGAAAUCAGAUGAAUGGUCCCUAAAGGUAUUGUUUUUGUUGUUGUUGUUAUUGCAGUUGCAGUUGCUUUGUCGAUGACAAAGAAGAAAAGAAAGGGAGCAGAAGGAGAGUAUUGUUAAUGAUAUCAGAGAGUGUUGAAAAAUAUAACUUUGUCCAUCUUUCUCUUUAGAAGACAUGAAAAAUAUCAAAUUUGAGGAGUUUAGACACAACGGAAGGGUUUUUCCUUGGCUAGAACAAAUUGAUGCAGUUUGCUCUUGGUCCUUCUGCUUGAGAUGAAAUCCAUCAUGCCAUCUUUAAACUUUCCAAGCUUCUUCAUGGUGAUGAUGAACUGCUUAUUACAGAUAUGCCAAAGGAAGAGGUUGAAAGCUUAUUUGACUCUUAUGAAGAUUCUGACUUUACAAGGACUGAAAGUACUGCAGUAGUAACGGUUUCUGACUAAAUAUAUUGCCAGCUUGAUAAACAAACAAGCUUGACUGUGUUAAUCUUCAUUACUGAUCAACACUGUUUUGUUACAAAUACAAUUGAUUGACCAAGUUGAACUGAAGGGAGGUCUUCUAGAAAAGUUCACAUAUGAGCUGGAACUGUUUCUAAGGAAGAAAGGUGUGUCUGUUCGGCUCAACAAAGGGUGUAUCUUGCCACUUUUAGUUUCCCUCUUCCUCAUUCACAAAGUUAAUUUUUUUUUUUCUUGAUUCAUUAUGUAGGUUCAACCUGAUGUUGAUCAUGUUACAGUCAGUUGGAUCCCAGCCAAUAAUCUGUUUGCAAUAAUGGUUAGCAUUAUUGAUCAAGACCUUGCUCAGAAAAAUGUGUACCAAAAUCAAGGUGUUUCCUUUCCGGAUUCGUACUGAACUGAACAUGAAUCUAUGCAGAGAAAGCUUGAAGCCUAACAAAAUGAGGAUAAGUUGAACAAUCUGGGGAAUUAACAGUCAAAAUGCCAGAGAUUUUGAGAGACCGUAAGGCUUAUGCACUCAAGAAGGCACGCAAGGCUUAGCUGCUCAAGUUAGGCAAAAUCACAGACCCUCCUGCUCUCUAUCAAGCUUGGUUUUUCUCUUUUUUUUUAAAAAAAGCAACCGCUGGUUCAGUUUUCCAUGUUCACCUUAUUUGAUCAGCAAAAUAAAAUUUCAACUUAUAUCACCCUGUAUUUGUAGAAAGAUGUUUUAAAAUUAUGGUUAUGACCCGAUUAAAAAUAAAAACUGGUUAAACAAAUAAGAUACACUGCAAUCUUAUAAAUUCAUCUACGCCUACUCCGAUUACUAAAAUUCUCGGUACAUAACCUACCUUGGUGAACGUGUUGGCUAUUAUUCCAUGCAGCUGUUGACUUAGACAUUGUCGGCUAGCUUGGAAGCACCCACUGAUAUAAGGAGAAGCUGAUUAAAGAAUAAAACUGAUUAAGUGAUAUGAUUUCUUUAGACCAUCUCCCAUUGACACCAAAUUCUCCAACAAAACAUUAAAGUUCACACCAUUCCACCAAAUUUGAUGUAACACUAUUCAUCACACCAAAUCACACCAAAUCUUUUAAAUGCAUAUUUUAUUAUGUUUUAUUUUAUAAUAUAGUUUAAUUAUUAUCAAAUUUGUAGCUAACCAUAAAUAUCUUAUUUUAUUUUUAAUUAUUUUAACACAUUUUUUAAUUUUUAUUUUUAGUUGAUUUUUCUCAAAAUUCAAAAACUAAAAUUUUAAUUUUUAAAAAUAAAUCACUAAAUAACUAUUAUCAUUUAUCACUUACCAAUAAUAAAAAUACAAAAAAUAAAAAAUGUGAUAAAACAAUUAUUUACCAAUUAUAAAUAUUAACAAUAUAAAAAAUUUAAAACUGAAAAUAUUAAAUAAUAUAUUAUAUUAGUUUUGGUGUAAAUUUGGUGUCAUUGUUGGAGAUGACAAACAAAUUAAGACACCAAAAUACCAAAUUUGGUGUAAUUUCAACACCAAAUUUGGUGUCAUUGUUGGAGAUGCCUAUAGAAAUAGUAUUUGAUGAAAGCCGAUGUCCUUUCUUCUGUAUCGUACUAAUAAAUAAGAUUAAAUGCUGACAUUUCAGGUUUUUUGUCAUUAACCAGUAAAUGUUAGAGUUCAAUAUGGUAUAGCAAGUGUAGAGAAAUUUUAAAACAUUAUGGUCAAAAUAUAGAUGACAACAUACUCAAAGGAAAUAAAUUAUGGAAUAUAUAUGUGUUGUAUGUUCUCCACUAUUCUUACCUUUUAUUAACUUAAAUGGAUUUAGAAAUUUCAUAUGAUUAUAAAUGUCAGGAACUUGCUUGACGAAAUUAUGUUUACUAAUAAAUAUCUUACUAUCAUCAUUUGAAUUGGUUUUGAUCUGCAUCAAUGAAAAUAUAUUUUUGUUAAAACUCUUUUCUGAAGAAAACAGUUUUUUUUUCUUUUUUUUGUAACACGAAGAAAACAGCUCUAACUACAAAACUAAUGUAUAAACAGAAAUUAAUCCCAGCAUUUGUAAAUAUCUAUCAAAUAUGUAAAUCUAUAUAAACACUGAGAUAGAUUAGAGCUUCCGGCCAGUAUUCCACUGUGAAGCAAAUGAUUUUAUCUUAUCAAAUGACAACUGCAACAUACUCAUACAGGAAGUAGUUUCCAAAAACAAAGAUCAACACAAACCGAAGACAAAACCUUUUUUUGGUAAAAAAAAAAAACUUAGACAAAACCUUUUAAAACUAAAUUUGACAUUAAUUUUUAAUUUUCUUUACUUCUAAGAUCAAAUCUGCUAAGACAUUUAGCCAUCAUUUUCUCUCAUUAGUAUUUAAUUUUCAAUUCAAAAAAUUUCUAAUAUUAUUUUAAGCCAGCAGAUGAUAAUAUAGUGAAAAUACACAAUCUCUACAAAAUAAUUUGAUAUUUUUUCCCUAACAAUUACAUAAUAUAGUUUGCCAAUGAUUUGAAAAGAGAAGGUGCAAAACUGUUGUGGAUUUCCUAAGAUUUAAAGUCUUUUAAACAUUAUUUGUUAAAUCAAGUAGAAGAACUCAAACAAUUUAUAACCCUAAGAGCAUACCAAAAUGUUACAAUUCUAUCAUGCUUUUAUGAGAUGAGAAAGUAAAUUAUCUUAUUUUCUAAUGACAUUCAGUUUUUGGUCAUUUUCCUUUUUGUGAUAAAAAUUUGAAAAUGGUCUAUUUAGGAGAAUUACCCUAAUUUUAAAGGGAUCAAAUAUUUGCAUAGAAUUUUCUAAAAAAAUUAUUAUCUUAUUCUUUUAUUGAUUUUUAUCAAAAUUUAAACUGGCAUAAGUUUGGGAUCGGCAAAAUAUAAUAAUUUAUAGAGAUUAUUAAUUUAUCGAGUAUUAAUUUAUAGAUAUUUUACUGUAUUUUUAAUUUUCAACACAUUAAUUUAAUUUCCAUUACUACAGAAAGCCACUAUACACAACCAAAAACAUAAACUCCCCUCCACUUUUACAUCUCAAUCGAUUCACUUCCCAUUUCAUCUGCAUAAAAAAAUGAGCAAUAAAUUUUAAAAUACUUAAUUUCAUAUAUUCCUUCUUAUAAUUACUCUAAAUCUAUUGCAACAACAACCAUAAACAGCCACAACUAUGGUCAUAUACAAAUUUUAACUUCACACAAUAUCCGCGUGUAGCGCGGACACGGACUUAGUCUGUAAUAAAAGAGAAAAAAAAUUUCCUCCGUUUUCUCAGCAAAGAAACAGAUAUGAAAAUAAAAGAUGGAAAGUUUAUUAAAUGUCUUUAUUAAAAAGCGAGAAGACAGAGAACAGAUGAGAGAAAUCGGGAGCGGAGGAAAGAUGUUUUAACCGUUGCUUGAGAUAAGAAAAAUAUGAGGCCUUACAAAUGGGUCUAUAUAUACAAUUUACCGUUAUUAUUAUAUCAACCUAUAAAAAUAAUUGUGUGAAAUCUAUACAAUUUAUUUUGUUCAUAGUUAAUUGUAAAUAGUUUCUAUAAGAGAAUCAAAUAGUGUUAUGUAAAAAUACUUAUAUUUUUCUGUAAACCUAUAUUAUUAGUAAAAUUUAAAGAAUAUUAAAGCUUAAAUAUUCUGAUUAUGAGAUUGUAUAAUUAUCUAGCUGAAUAAUUAAUUAAGUUUAGUACUUUCUGAAGCAAUUAGAAAUAAAACAAGUUAAAUAUAUUAUACAAAAAUAGAAAUAAACAAAAAAUCAAUAUAUAAAUUUUUUUUUUAAAAAAACAAAAGAAACAAGCAUAAGAAAUGUUAAUUUAUAUUGUAACUACAAAAUUACAUAUAGCAAAGUGAUCAAUUAAGCCAACUAAACUUAUCAAAAAUGAAGCCCUAAAUGUAUGUCUAUGAUGUGGGGCCUGAGGCAAUUGCUUCUUUGAAAACAAAGUAAACACGGCUUUGCUCACCGACAAUGGUUUCAAAUUUCGACGAAUCAAGUCCGUAAAGAAUGUAUAAGAAGAACAAACCCAGUGCUUCAUCAAACGAAAAUCCCGGUUGUAGACUCCAAUUAAUAAUGCACACAGUUAACAGAUGUAAACCCAAUUAUUUUGGGAGAAAUCAUAAUUACAUUAGGACUCUAUUGCAUUUUCUCAAAAGGUCACCUAAUAGUUAAUAUGAAUGAUGUCAUUAGUGAAAUCUAAAAGAAAUAUUUAUAUUGACCAAAAAAAUCUUUACAAUACAUAACAUUUUCUACAAUUUAUGAAGUAUUCCAGCGAUCUUACAACUCAUCUAUAAAUAUCGAAAUGAAGCUCAUCGCCAUUGAGACGACAAACAAAACAACAUAGAUCAACAUGGUCCAAAGACAUCCCUUCUCAAAGCUUCAAAGUCUCCUCAAGUAAAUUCAUGUUGACAUAAUUGCACGGGUUGCACUUUUCUCUCAAAACAUGUAUUUGUACCUAAUGUAAGCAGAGAGGGUUUAUGAAAAAACAAAAGACAAAAAGUGACUAUAAUCUAUUAGGUAGUACUUAAUUAACAUACUUAAGAACACUUGAGUAACCAUAAAAAUAAAACGUAUGAUAAUGAUUUGCUCUUCAACGUUGAGGACAAUAAACAUAAAAACAAGAAUCAUUUGCAAUAGAUGGAUGAUAUAAAUGAUCAUGCAAGCAUAUUUCGUAGAUUAUAUGAGAAAAAAAUGCAAUUACAUACGUAUUAGCAUGUGACACAACUAUACUGUAGAUUUUUAACCACAAUGCAAAACUUUUUUUUUACUUUGUUAAUAAUUAUUUUGAUCACCAACCCAUUCUGAGAAAAUAACAGUAUUAUACAAAUACGAUUAUGACAUUAUUCAAACUAAUUAUAUAUAUAUAUAUAGUGAAAAUACAUCAACUUAGAUGGAGAAGAACAAAAGAAAUCAAAAGAUAAAUGCCUAAUACCCUUAAAAGUUAUAAAUUUAAUGGUUCUCAAGCCAAAAAAAAAACUUUAACAAAUUUUUUUUAACAAGAUUGUUCAUUUAAAAUUUAUUUUACCUAUUAAAUAAGUGCGGCAAUAAAUAUAUUCAGACUUUAAUUAAGCUUAAAUCGUUUUAGUAUGUUUGUACACCACGUGAAAUAUAGUUUACAAUAAUAAUAUAACAAAUUUUGAGUAGUAAAAAUUUCAAAUCUUCUAGACCAAAAAUUAGCAAAAUAAAAAGCACAUUUAAUUUUUUAAAAUAAUUUAUAUUUUAAUAAUAAAUAUAAAUAUAUACAUUAUAUUGAAAUAAAGUAAAAUAAUAGAAUUAAAAAUAAAUAUAAUAGAAAAAUUCCGGGCGUAGCCCGGGCCGAUCCUAGUAUCUUAUAUAUAUAUAUCUUACAAUAUUAAAAGGGCAAUAUGUUCAAUGGAAAAGCAUGCCAAAUAAAAUUUUUAAAUUAACCAAUAAAAAAUACUCUUUCAUGCUAGGCCAGUUCUUCUUAAACUUAAAAUUGCAACUUGAAAAUGAAAUAAAAAUAGGAUUCUACGGUUGGGCUCAGUUGCUAAGCCCACUAAGAAGAUUUUAUUGGCUCAUAUACGGUCCAUGUCACAGUUUAUUCAGAAACCCGUAACAUCUGAUAAUCUUCGACCUAAUCUUUCCAUCUUCUUCGUCUUCUCUGUUUUCCCUACUUAUGAACUCUUGAUUUUGGUUGUCCUAUACCAUUUGGAAACGAAGCUCUCAAGCUUCUCAACAAUGGCUGUCAUGUACAGAAACUGAAAUAUCUCUCUAGGUGUGAAGCUUUAUCGAUGUAUCCAAGAACUUAUGAUCUUUUUCACGUUGAUGGUCUGUUUACAAGCCAAAGGUGUGAGAUGACAUAUGUAAUGCUGGAAAUGGAUAGGAUCUUGCGUCCUAAUGGCUAUUAGAUUAUAUGUGAAUCAAGCUGUUUAAAGAUACUAUUACAUCGGUUGCAAAAUGAUUGAGAUGGAGUUCCAUAAGGAAAAGACAGAGUCUAACUCAGAGAAUGAGAAGCUCUUGAUUUGCUAGAAAAAGUUGUGAUAUUCAUCUAGCGGAACUUCAGAAGUAGUAAAAACGUAGUUUGUGAUUACGAUAACCUUUUGUUAUGAAACCUCUUUACUUUUUAUGUAUUACUACGAUACCAUGCGAAGGCUGAAGCUAUCAUUUUGGCUUUUAUAGAUUUUAAUAUUUGAUUAUAGUAAAUUUGAUCUCUAUCACGUGUUAAAUACUCAUGGGUAUGUUAGCACACUAAGUUGUUGGUUAAGCUUAUGUUAGCUCAGGUUAACAGUUGUAUAUAAACAACUUUACUUUACAGAUUAAUGUGAAGAUUGA